rnacentral:lncRNA from 1 species
UUCUCAGCUGGAUACGAGUCCAAAUAUAUCUCCGUAUUGUACAGAACAAUGUUAAAUAAAGUAAUAGUAGCUUACAUUUGAUAUUACUGUAAACAUUUCUGUAUUUUAAAAAAAUUGCUUUAUGUGAAUUACACUAGUUUUUUGUGUGUACCCAUUUUCUGAUCAGUACUGAAGCAUACAGAAAACAAUAGUUUCUUUCACGUUAGACCAUGCUAUUUUAAAAACCUGCGCAGAAUGGUAUAAAUAAAAACAUUUGACACGCGUAUCCUCUAUACAUGUGCACUUGAUAUAACCCUAAAGGAAAUAAUUCAAUACGAUGACGUAUGGUUAGGGUCGAAAUCAUCCAGUUCGAUUUAGUUCGACCCAAGGUCGAACAUAUUCAACUUAUUAUGACCCUGGUUGGGAAUUACCUAUAAGCUAUUUCAUAUUUAGUGCGACCCAGAAAUAUGUCUGACACAGGGUCAUAUAUUCUAAUUGGAAAAUAUCUGACCCAGGGUCGUUCUAAAGAUGGCUGCUGUAUCAUUCGGAAUCGUCUUAAAGCUUAUCAAAAUAUAACCGACCCAGGGCCGUACUAAAUAAAAUAGCUUUAGGCUUAUUCCCAACUAGGGUCAUACUAAAUCUUGGUCGUACUAAUUUGAAUUUUCUAAAAGCUAAAUCGGCAUGUUCGACCCUAACAUACGGUACGUGAUACUGUUCAGUUGGUAUCUUUUCAUCCCUGUUUUUUCUAAUGUAUUUUACAUGCAAAUUUAUAUUUUCUAUAUAAUGACUGGCGACAAUGAUUUUUAUUUAUGCUUUAUCUCUAUCUAUUUUCAAUGAUAAUGAGCGGUCAAAUGUAAUACAGUGUAGCGAUAGAAGUCUCUAUUAUUGCAUUUUAAUUGUUGGCGUGCAAUCUUAAAUGCAUGCAUAUCAACAAACUCGAUAAUACACUGCAAUAUCUUUGCAGAUACCUAAGUUAUGGAAGCAAACCAGUCGCUUAAAACAUGCCUUCUAGUUCAUGUCACCUCGCCGAUUACAUAUGCAAGAGGUCAUUCCAUGAUUUUUUGUAAACAAAGUCCGUUUUUUUUCUUUAUAUCCUUCCGUUGCCAACAAGUAUUAUGUUUACACGUAUAUUGGCAAAUCAUUCAAGCGUUUUACUAUAAACUGUAAUGGUUGAAUUGACUGUUUACAAUUAUAACUUCCGCUAAAUGUUUUGACUUUUAUAAAGUGACACAGAUGUUUUACGACGAAAAUGACAUGACAAGUUAACAGGUGACACCAUUGCACUCAUAAGACGUAUUCUAAAAGGGGAAACAAAAUGAGACGUGAUUGUACGCAAAGACGACAAUGUUCCUGGCAGUGGUCAUUGUGAACUUAUGUCUAUUUGUACGUGCUUUAGAACAUGGCAGGAAUACCUCUGAUUUGAAAAAUGGAACGCCAUGUGACACGAACAAAGUUAACCUCGCCGUCAACUGCACCUAUGAUCGUAUAAAUCUAAACAGGAACACAUCUACAGAUUCUUGGGAAAAGUUUGACAGCAGGGGACGAUUUAAACGUGCUUCUGUUGCGGCAGUCAUUUUCGUUGUCCUAGCUGUAGUUCUGUCAGUUAUACAAAAAUACAAAAACAAAGUUGUUCUUACAAAUAAAUGGCAGUUUAGAUAUAAAAAGCACUCUGACAAAGAUCGUGCUAAUGACAUAAUCUACAUGGUUGAGAAUGAUCUACAUUUAACCGAAGAGUUUGAUGUUGUAAGCAACCAGAUAGAUGAAAUAAUUGGAGUGAAAAAUGAUUUCAAAGAAGUUUUGUUGCAAAGUUCUGCAUGAUCAGUAAAGUGCAAUGUGAAAUUAACAAAAUAAAAAAUGCAUACUUAAAUUGGUCCUACAAUCAACUAAUGACAAAUACACUUAACAAAGCUUCUAAUGCCCCAUCAAUGUAUUUAACAAUACCUUUAACAUUACUUAAGGUACAUUUUUGAAAUUUGUUACACAUUUUAGAAACGUAUGUUGUUAAUUACACACAAAAAUUUCAUUAAAGUCGGAUGAUGCGAUGAUAUCAUUUUAUUUAUUCUUAGUAUUGAACUCAGUUUUAAAAAGUCACACAAAUACACAUAAAUGUCUAAAAGUCACACAAAUACACAUAAAUGUCUAAAAAGUCACACAAAUACACAUAAAUGUCUAAAAUUUAGAAAUUAGUGGAUUUUGUUAUAAGGCGUGAAAGUCGUGACAGAAACAAAACUUAUUUAUCUUGUCAUUUGUUUUGAGCUUAUUCAAAUCUGGUUUGAUAUUUGACCAUAAGUAUUGUACCCCCAUAAAUGAUAUUUGCUCGUUUUAUAAAAGCACUUCUUGCAUGUGUGUUUUUGUGGCGUUUUAAAACUGGACAGAGGUGGUAAAAUAAAUGAAAUGAUGUCUUUACACUUCUCGGUUUUGUUGACAUUCUACCAUAGAAUCAAAAACAUAUUUUCUAUCUGUGCGGUUUAUGAAAUAUAUGGCCAUAAAUAUUCAUGGGCUGUUAGACGUUUUGGUUAGUAUAUGUUAUACCUAGAUUAUGAUACCAGACGGGGGAAAUCUGAAAAUGUUGAAUUCUUAUUUCUUUAUGAAAUAGGUUUCUUAUGUUUCUGUGAUACUUUUGUGGUAAAUGCUAAAACUUAUGUUUUGUGUCAUGCUGCCUGUACUGUGCCGGGUCUUCUGGGGCAGUAGAGCUAUUGAAUGUUUCUUUUGACCAUUAGUGCACUAUGCCAAAACUAAGCAAUUAGCAGUCCACCAAGAUACUCUCCAUCAUUUCCUUUUGUGAGAUUGGUCUGGGGCUUAUCUUAAAUCAUGACUUUAUACAGUCUGUGACUGUUGUUUUUUGUACUUAACCGUUUAUCUUCUUCUUAAGAUGUUACUUUGUCUUUCAUAUUUAUUAAGAAUAGUUUUAUUAAUCUAAAAUACAUUUGUUUUAAAAUACAUUUACAUGCGUACUGUGCUUUUUCUCCAUAGUAUAUUUAGAAUUUCAGUUGUAACGUUACAUGUAAACUUGUAUUUUGCACGUGUGUUUUGUGCUUGUAUAUAAAUCGGGCGAGAUCAUAAAAUGAAUAAAAUGAUAUUAAUGCA